CAGCCGCCGCGGUAAUACGAAGGGGGCUAGCGUUGUUCGGAUUUACUGGGCGUAAAGGGCGCGUAGGCGGUUUCUUAAGUCUGAUGUGAAAGCCCCCGGCUCAACCGGGGAUGGUCAUUGGAAACUGGGAAACUUGAGUGCAGAAGAGGAGAGUGGAAUUCCACGUGUAGCGGUGAAAUGCGUAGAGAUGUGGAGGAACACCAGUGGCGAAGGCGACUCUCUGGUCUGUAACUGACGCUGAGGAGCGAAAGCGUGGGGAGCGAACAGGAUUAGAUACCCCUGUAGUCCCUGUCUCUUAUAC
rnacentral:rRNA from 1 species